rnacentral:lncRNA from 1 species
UAUGAGUGGAGUAUAAAAUUUCAUCAGCAACACACACCUAAUAGCAGUGCUUUAAUCCAGAGGAAGCAUGGAAAAUUUAAGGACUGAGCCAAGAGAAACUUUCUGAAGUUCAAUAAGAUGUGCAAAGUGCUGCACCUGGGGUGGAAUGACCCCCCAGGAAGUGGCUGGCUGAGUAGUGUCUCUAAUUAAAGUGAUGUGAGGAUCACAGUUGUCACCAGGUUACCUAUGAGCUGGCAAUGUUCUGUCAUCAUGAAUAAAGCGACCCAUUUACUGGCUUCUACACUGUAAAAGAGUGUAUCUUGCACAGGAGUAUAUCCAGAAGGCUGAGGGAACUUAUUAUCCCCUUCUGCUUAGAACUGCUGAAGCCACAACUGGAAUAAUAUGUCCAUUUAGGGCUUGCAGAUCAUGAGGGACAUAGAGAAAGUAGAAAGGAUACAGCAGACAACCAUUAAAUCAUAAGGGCUUUGGGCACAAUAUUAGUGAGUUUUAUGGGAUAUUAUUCCCAACAUUUGCAUAGUGACCAUCUGAAGACUGGACAUUGUACUGUUCCAAGAGCACUCAAGCAUGCAACCACUGAGAUUUGGGGAUGUCUCAGUCUUGGAGCCCCUGAGGACAGUCACUCCCUAACCACAGCUGGUGACAGGAGGAGGGUUUUUGUGCGUUCGAUACUUAGAGCUGAGAGCUGACUGGUGAGAAGAUUAACAGCAACGCUAUUAAGAGGGAUGCACUGUCUCCACUUUUAAAUUGCCUAGGCCUUUAAUAAAGGAAGGAGAGAGAGGGAAAGGGAGACA